GAUGAACGCUGGCGGCGUGCCUAAUACAUGCAAGUCGAGCGAACGGACGAGAAUCUUGCUUCUCUGAUGUUAGCGGCGGACGGGUGAGUCCCACGUGGAUACCCUACCUAUAAGACUGGGAUCACUUCGGGAAGCCUAAGCUAAUAUAGGAUCAUAUUUUGAACCGCAUGGUUCUAAAGUGAUCGACGGAUUAGAUGACCCUUAUUGAUAGUUCCUCGCUGGAUUAGUUAGUUGGUAAGGUAACGGCUUACCAAGGCUACGCUGCGUAGCUGGUCUGAGAGGAUGAUCAGUCACACUGGAACGGAGACACGGGCCAGACAAGUACGGGAGGCAGCAGUGGGGAAUAUUGGACAAAGGGCGAAAGAUUGAUACAGACAUGCCGAGUGUGUGAAGAAGGUCUUAGGAUUGUAAAGCACUUUAAGUUGGGAGGAAGGGCAGUAAGUUAAUACCUUGCUGUUUUGACGUUACAAACAGAAUAAGCAACGGCUAACUUCGUG
rnacentral:rRNA from 1 species